UCCUAGUUAACCUAGGCAGUCUCAUUAGAGUCCCCACCUUAAAUGUUGGCAACUAAUGAUAAGGGUUGCGCUCGUUGCGGGACUUAACCCAACACCUCACGGCACGAGCUGACGACAGCCAUGCAGCACCUAUACACGCGUCCUUUCGGAAGAUAUCAUUUCUGCUAUCGCCGCGUGCAUUUCGAGCCCAGGUAAGGUUCUUCGCGUUGCAUCGAAUUAAACCACAUGCUCCACUGCUUGUGCGGGCCCCCGUCAAUUCUUUUGAGUUUCAGCCUUGCGACUGUACUUCCCAGGCGGUAUACUUAUCGCGUUAGCUUCGACACAGCCAGGGUUGAGCCUAGCUACAUCAAGUAUACAUCGUUUAGGGCAUGGACUAC
rnacentral:misc_RNA from 1 species